CUCUUCGCUUUUACUUCAGUUUGAAUGAUGCAGGUGAGUGCUAGUGUUUGAAUGAUGCAGGUGAGUGCUAGUGUUUGAAUGAUGCAGGUGAGUGCUAAUGUUUGAAUGAUGCAGGUGAGUGCUAGUGUUUAAAUAAUGAAGGUGAGUGCUAGUGUUUGAAUGAUGCAGGUGAGUGCUAGUGUUUGAAUGAUGCAGGUGAGUGCUAAUGUUUGAAUGAUGCAGGUGAGUGCUAAUGUUUGAAUGAUGCAGGUGAGUGCUAAUGUUUGAAUGAUGCAGGUGAGUGCUAGUGUUUGAAUGAUGCAGGUGAGUGCUAGUGUUUGAAUGAUGCAGGUGAGUGCUAGUGUUUGAAUGAUGCAGGUGAGUGCUAGUGUUUGAACGAUGCAUGUGAGUGCUAGUGUUUGAAUGAUGCAGGUGAGCGCU